rnacentral:siRNA from 1 species
AUGCCAAUUAAAACCUAGUGGAAA